rnacentral:rRNA from 1 species
ACGAACGCUGGCGGCGCGCCUAACACAUGCAAGUCGAACGGUGAAGAGGAGCUUGCUCCUCGGAACAGUGGCGGACGGGUGAGUAACACGUGAGCAACCUGGCUCUAAGAGGGGGACAACAGUUGGAAACGACUGCUAAUACCGCAUGACGUAUCGGGAUGGCAUCUUCCUGAUACCAAAGAUUUUAUCGCUUAGAGAUGGGCUCGCGUCUGAUUAGAUAGUUGGCGGGGUAACGGCCCACCAAGUCGACGAUCAGUAGCCGGACUGAGAGGUUGAACGGCCACAUUGGGACUGAGACACGGCCCAGACUCCUACGGGAGGCAGCAGUGGGGGAUAUUGGACAAUGGGGGCAACCCUGAUCCAGCGACGCCGCGUGAGGGAAGAAGGUUUUCGGAUUGUAAACCUCUGUUGACGGAGAAAAAAAUGAUGGUAUCCGUUUAGAAAGCCACGGCUAACUACGUG